GCUGUAGCAGGUCUCCUAUGCUGGUUUUUCAUAUUUUUGCACCAUUUUUGACAAGCCAGCUCAGAAAUCGGGAACGGUCGGAGGCCCACUCACACUAUCCGUAUACCAUCUUGGCAUAAUGGCUUGUAUGUUUUGAGUAUGGCAUGUAUAGCAUUAUAAUCAUUUUGUAUAUAUGGUCUUAUGAUAUGGAUAUUGAGUGGUAUGGAAAUGCUUGGUAAUGAUUAGCCAUUGGAAUGGCUAAUCAUGAUCAUAUUUGGUGUUAUGUAUGCUAAAUUGCUAGCUAAUCCAUGGAAACCAUGAAAUAGGCAAAAUUUACCAUAAAA